rnacentral:rRNA from 1 species
CCUACGGGAGGCUGCAGUGGGGAAUAUUGGACAAUGGGGGCAACCCUGAUCCAGCCAUGCCGCGUGUGUGAAGAAGGCCCUCGGGGUGUAAAGCACUUUCAGUGAGGAAGAACGCCUGGUGGUUAAUACCCAUCAGGAAAGACAUCACGCACAGAAGAAGCACCGGCUAACUCCGUGCCAGCAGCCGCGGUAAUACGGAGGGUGCGAGCGUUAAUCGGAAUUACUGGGCGUAAAGCGCGCGUAGGUGGCUUGAUAAGCCGGUUGUGAAAGCCCCGGGCUCAACCUGGGAACGGCAUCCGGAACUGUCAAGCUAGGGUGCAGGAGAGGAAGGUAGAAUUCCCGGUGUAGCGGUGAAAUGCGUAGAGAUCGGGAGGAAUACCAGUGGCGAAGGCGGCCUUCUGGACUGACACUGACACUGAGGUGCGAAAGCGUGGGUAGCAAACAGGAUUAGAUACCCGUGUAGUC